rnacentral:rRNA from 1 species
AUUGAACGCUGGCGGCAUGCUUUACACAUGCAAGUCGAACGGUAACAGGCCUUCGGGUGCUGACGAGUGGCGAACGGGUGCGUAAUGCAUCGGAACGUACCCAGAGGUGGGGGAUAACGCAGCGAAAGCUGUGCUAAUACCGCAUGUGAUCUGAGGAUGAAAGCGGGGGACCGAGCAGCAAUGUUUGGCCUCGCGCCUUUGGAGCGGCCGAUGUCGGAUUAGCUAGUUGGUGGGGUAAAGGCCUACCAAGGCGACGAUCCGUAGCUGGUCUGAGAGGACGACCAGCCACACUGGAACUGAGACACGGCCCAGACUCCUACGGGAGGCAGCAGUGGGGAAUUUUGGACAAUGGGCGCAAGCCUGAUCCAGCAAUGCCGCGUGCGGGAAGAAGGCCUUCGGGUUGUAAACCGCUUUUGGCAGGAACGAAACGGUGUCCGCUAAUACCGGGCGCUAAUGACGGUACCUGCAGAAUAAGCACCGGCUAACUACGUG